AGUGAACGCUGGCGGUAGGCCUAACACAUGCAAGUCGAACGGCAGCACAGUAAGAGCUUGCUCUUACGGGUGGCGAGUGGCGGACGGGUGAGGAAUACAUCGGAAGCUACGUUUUCGUGGGGGAUAACGUAGGGAAACUUACGCUAAUACCGCAUACGACCUACGGGUGAAAGCAGGGGAUCUUCGGACCUUGCGCGAUUGAAUGAGCCGAUGUCGGAUUAGCUAGUUGGCGGGGUAAAGGCCCACCAAGGCGACGAUCCGUAGCUGGUCUGAGAGGAUGAUCAGCCACACUGGAACUGAGACACGGUCCAGACUCCUACGGGAGGCAGCAGUGGGGAAUAUUGGACAAUGGGCGCAAGCCUGAUCCAGCCAUACCGCGUGGGUGAAGAAGGCCUUCGGGUUGUAAAGCCCUUUUGUUGGGAAAGAAAAGCAGCAGGUUAAUACCCCGCUGUUCUGACGGUACCCACAGAAUAAGCACCGGCUAACUUCGUG
rnacentral:rRNA from 1 species